rnacentral:lncRNA from 1 species
CCGCUUUUAAUUUUGAUGUAGGCAACAGUUUGUUUCGUCCUUCGUGAUUCAUUGGAUUCGUAUGAAGGCGGGAAUACUUAUUCCUUCAUGAAAGAAGCACAAGGCAAUGCGGAAAUCAAUACUGGAGUCCCAGCGGUGCUGACCGGAGACACAGAAGAAGGGGAAAAAAGCACAUCCGCACAGUGAAGAUCACAGAAAACACACACGGACCACUGAGGAAGAGCAUUCAGAGGUUAGCAUUUUUGCUCAAAAAUACACAAGCAUC